rnacentral:rRNA from 1 species
GACGAACGCUGGCGGCGUGCUUAACACAUGCAGGUCGAACGAAGAGCGAUGGAAGCUUGCUUCUAUCAAUCUUAGUGGCGAACGGGUGAGUAACGCGUAAUCAACCUGCCCUUCAGAGGGGGACAACAGUUGGAAACGACUGCUAAUACCGCAUACGAUCUAACCUCGGCAUCGAGGAUAGAUGAAAGGUGGCCUCUACAUGUAAGCUAUCACUGAAGGAGGGGAUUGCGUCUGAUUAGCUAGUUGGAGGGGUAACGGCCCACCAAGGCGAUGAUCAGUAGCCGGUCUGAGAGGAUGAACGGCCACAUUGGGACUGAGACACGGCCCAGACUCCUACGGGAGGCAGCAGUGGGGAAUCUUCCGCAAUGGACGAAAGUCUGACGGAGCAACGCCGCGUGAGUGAUGACGGCCUUCGGGUUGUAAAGCUCUGUUAAUCGGGACGAAAGGCCUUCUUGCGAAUAGUUAGAAGGAUUGACGGUACCGGAAUAGAAAGCCACGGCUAACUACGUG